rnacentral:rRNA from 1 species
UAGCAUAUCAAUAAGCGGAGGAAAAGAAACCAACAGGGAUUGCCCCAGUAACGGCGAGUGAAGCGGCAACAGCUCAAAUUUGAAAUCUGGCCCUAGGCCCGAGUUGUAAUUUGUAGAGGAUGCUUUUGGUGACGCGCCUACCGAGUCCCCUGGAAUGGGGCGCCACAGAGGGUGAGAGCCCCGUAUGGUUUGCCGCCGAGCCUCUGUAAAGCUCCUUCGACGAGUCGAGUAGUUUGGGAAUGCUGCUCUAAAUGGGAGGUAAAUUUCUUCUAAAGCUAAAUACCGGCCAGAGACCGAUAGCGCACAAGUAGAGUGAUCGAAAGAUGAAAAGCACUUUGAAAAGAGGGUUAAAUAGCACGUGAAAUUGUUGAAAGGGAAGCGCUUGUGACCAGACUCGCGCUGGGCGGAUCAUCUAGCGUUCUCGCUGGUGCACUCCGCCCGGCUCGGGCCAGCAUCGGUUUUCGCCGGGGGACAAAAGCCUCGGGAACGUGGCCCCCUUCGGGGGGUGUUAUAGCCCGUGGCAGAAUACCCCGGCGGGGACCGAGGACCGCGCUUCGGCAAGGAUGCUGGCGUAAUGGUCACCAGCGACCCGUCUUGAAACACGGACCGAGGAGUCAAGCAUUAGUGCGAGUGUUUGGGUGUAAAACCCGCACGCGUAAUGAAAGUGAACGUAGGUGAGAGCUUCGGCGCAUCAUCGACCGAUCCUGAAGUUUACGGAUGGAUUUGAGUAGGAGCAUUAACGCUUGGACCCGAAAGAUGGUGAACUAUACUUGAAUAGGGUGAAGCCAGAGGAAACUCUGGUGGAGGCUCGCAGCGGUUCUGACGUGCAAAUCGAUCGUCAAAUUUGAGUAUAGGGGCGAAAGACUAAUCGA